AUUUCUUUCCUUUUCUUUCUUUCUUUCUCUCUCUCUCUCUCUCUCUCUUUCUCUCGCGAUUGAGAGAAAACAAAUAUUUUUUUGUGGAAUCGUCUGGGUGAGGAGGAAGAGGAGAUUGCUGUCAGAGAAGAAGAGAUUGCUGCCGGACGAAGAGGACAUUGCCGUUUCCCAUGCCAGUAUUUUGAUUGAAUGGUGAAUCGGCUGUGAUUGCAUGUAGGAGAGGCGAUUUGGGAAUUAGGGUUUCGUGAAUUGGGAGUCCACUCGCCUGGAAGAGAUUCAAUCAAUUGAAAGCAGAGGGAUAUGUGGUUUUAUAUGUCAGAGCAUGAGAAGUUCAAUGACUUUGGGAAUGAUAAAGCUCUGUAUUGGCAUGAGACGAAUAUACCUUAUGCUGUGUGGACACCAGAGAGUAUUAGGACCAAGUCACUAACGUAUUAUCCAUCUGAGGAGGAUUGCAGAGUUGAAGGAAAAUGAGAGAAGAAGGACAUUGGAAGAGAUUUUGUACGCAUUGGUGGUUCAAAAGUUCAUGGAAGCUAACGUAACACUUGUACCAUCAUUGACCCCAUCUUCUGAUCCAUCUGGUCGGGUUGAUACUUGGCCGACCAAAGUAGAGAAACUUGAGCAGCUUCACUCCCCCAAGAUGUACGAGAUGAUUCACAACCAUCCUAUUCCUCAUUAAGCUCUCUUUUAGGGGUUUAAUCUGAAUUGUGUCUGUGGUUUGCAGAAAGUUUUGCAGAAAGUCUCUUUGUUGUGAUUGUGAAUGCUAGUUGUUCCUUGUAUAAGCUUCAACAUAUGACAAUAUAUGGAAAUUGAAUAAGUUAUACACAUAAAUUUUGGCACAA